rnacentral:rRNA from 1 species
CGUAGGGACCGAGCGUUGUCCGGAUUCAUUGGGCGUAAAGAGCUCGUAGGCGGCUGCUCAAGUCGAAUGUGAAAACUCGAGGCUCAACCUCGAGCCUGCAUUCGAUACUGGGCGGCUAGAGUCUGGUAGGGGGAUCUGGAAUUCCUGGUGUAGCGGUGGAAUGCGCAGAUAUCAGGAGGAACACCGGUGGCGAAGGCGGGAUCCUGGGCCAGUACUGACGCUGAGGAGCGUAAGCGUGGGGAGCAAACAGGAUUAGAUACCCUGGUAGUCCACGCCGUAAACGAUGGGCGCUAGGUGUGGGAGGUCAUCGACUCCUUCCGUGCCGCAGCUAACGCAUUAAGCGCCCCGCCUGGGGAGUACGGCCGCAAGGCUA